AUAUGCUAGGUCUACAAAAUGUCAAAACAGCCAGGCAAAUCAUGCCAGGAUUCAUCAUGGCAGGGGGAAACCAGUCACCCCUGAUACUCACCAUUGAGCAGCCCAAACAACUCUUAAUGACUAAGGUUUUUUCCACUUACACCUGGUUUUAAAAGUUCAUUAGUAGGAAAAGGCUUUAUAAAUUGUGAUACAUUCAUAUGAAGGGAUAUUAUAUCAAAUUUAAAGUGAGUGAACUGAAACUAACGUAUCAAUAUUGAUACAUCUAAAAUAAUAAUGUUGAAUACAAAAGCAAUUUUUAGAAUAAUCAAUAUUAUUCAUGCAAAUUUUAGUAACAUGAAGUAAUACUAUAUAUUGUGUUGUACACAUACUUACGGAGUAAAUCUACCAAACAUGGACAGGACAGACGCAUACAUCUUUGAGACGGUAGCUAUUCUGGGGAGGAAGGAAAAGGGCUGGAAGGAGGCAAGCGACAAAGGAUACAGUUA
rnacentral:lncRNA from 1 species